rnacentral:tRNA from 1 species
AAGUUAAAUUAUAGGUGAAACCCCUAUAUAUCUCU